UCUUCAGAAAUAUAUAGAGAGAGGAGAGAGAGAGAGUUUUCUUGACAAGCUAUAAGCUUAGCUAAAAUGGCGACUUGCCAUCCUUCUAGGACCUAUACAAAAAGAAAGGAAGAAAGAAA